UUCUAUCGAUAACGAGAGAGACCCUUACCUGCUAAAUAGCCCAACUAUCCUGGGCUGGUAGCCGGCUUUUUAGAGGGACUUUCGGCUGUAGCCGAAGGAAGUUGGAGGCAAUAACAGGUCUGUGAUGCCCUUAGAUGUUCUGGGCCGCACGCGCGCUACACUGAUAGAGCCAUCGAGUAUACCACCUUGGCUGAAAGGUCUGGGUAAUCUUGUUAAACUCUGUCGUGCUGGGGAUAGAUCAUUGCAAUUGUUGCUCUUCAACGAGGAAUGCCUAGUAAGCGCGAGUCAUCAACCUGCAUGAUACGUCCCGUCUAGCAACCCCCCAAAAACACAAAGAUAC
rnacentral:rRNA from 1 species